rnacentral:rRNA from 1 species
AUUGAACGCUGGCGGAAUGCUUUACACAUGCAAGUCGAACGGCAGCACGGACUUCGGUCUGGUGGCGAGUGGCGAACGGGUGAGUAAUGUAUCGGAACGUGCCCAGUCGUGGGGGAUAACGUAGUGAAAAUUACGCUAAUACCGCAUACGAUCUAUGGAUGAAAGCGGGGGAUCGCAAGACCUCGCGCGAUUGGAGCGGCCGAUAUCAGAUUAGGUAGUUGGUGGGGUAAAGGCCCACCAAGCCAACGGUCUGUAGCUGGUCUGAGAGGACGGCCAGCCACACUGGAACUGAGACACGGUCCAGACUCCUACGGGAGGCAGCAGUGGGGAAUUUUGGACAAUGGGCGAAAGCCUGAUCCAGCCAUUCCGCGUGCAGGAUGAAGGCCCUCGGGUUGUAAACUGCUUUUGUACAGAACGAAAAGGCUUCUACUAAUACUAGGAGCUCAUGACGGUACUGUAAGAAUAAGCACCGGCUAACUACGUGCCAGCCGCCGCCGUAA